AACAUCGCGCACCUGCGGGAACCUGCGGAGGGAUCAUUAAUGAUUGGUGGCUGUUGCUGACUAGUGUUUCUAGUAUGUGCACGCCACACCUUCAAUCCCACUUACACCUGUGCACCUUCUGUAUUAGAUCUAUGUGGAUACGGAGAUAUGAAAGUUUGCGCUCUCGUACUCUGUUGAAGCAGUCUACUACGUUUUUUUACACACACACAAUAGUCAUUGAAUGUAUUUUUUAUUCUUAUG
rnacentral:misc_RNA from 1 species